rnacentral:rRNA from 1 species
GAUGAACGCUGGCGGCGUGCUUAACACAUGCAAGUCGAACGGAAAGGCUCCUGCUUGCAGGGGUACUCGAGUGGCGAACGGGUGAGUAACACGUGGGUGAUCUGCCCUGCACUUCGGGAUAAGCCUGGUAAACUGGGGCUAAUACCGGAUAGGACGAUGGUUUGGAUGCCAUUGUGGAAAGUUUUUCGGUGUGGGAUGAGCUCGCGGCCUAUCAGCUUGUUGGUGGGGUAAUGGCCUACCAAGGCGUCGACGGGUAGCCGGCCGGAGAGGGUGUACGGCCACAUUGGGACUGAGAUACGGCCCAGCAUACUACGGGAGGCAGCAGUGGGGAAUAUUGCACAAUGGGCGGAAGCCUGAUGCAGCGACGCCGCGUGGGGGAUGAAGGCCUUCGGGUUGUAAACUACUUUCGCUAGGGAAGAAGAGGAAGUGACGGUACCUGGAGAAGAAGCACCGGCUAACUACGUG